AAAGCAUCUUCACAGGUCCUGGCCUGGCUGGUAGGUGAGGAUUUGGUAGCGGAUGCUAACAGGAAGUGUCUCCCUGCAGGUGCUCGGUGGCCCCCACCAUGCCGGCUGGGACGUGCGGGGGGGUGACACUC
rnacentral:snoRNA from 1 species